GGUUCUCGUUAGAUCACCGAAGUUAAGCACCAUUGGGCGCGGUCAGUACUUGGGUGGGUGACCAGCUGGGAACACUGCGUGCCGUU